rnacentral:lncRNA from 1 species
CUCUCGAUCCCCGACCACCUGCCCAGCUGACAGCCCCGGCACCGCGGCUGCUCGCCCGGGGGGCGGAAUGGCAGCGGCGCAAGCUGGCGAUGCGCAGCAGUAGGGCUGGGGGAGGAAACCCAGCACCAGCCCCCGGCUUGGGCUGCCCGGGGGGAGCCGCAGGCUCGGGAGGUGCCGGCAGGGGAGCGGUGGGUGCCGUGCCGAGCCGUGCCGGGUUAUCAGCGCCGAGAGGGGCAGCCGCCGGGCUCGCCGCCUCGUCUCCCCCAGCCAUGAAUCCCAGCGAAGGGGCGGCGGAGGAAGGCGCUGUCCCCGACUCCGAGGUGGAUGCUUUCUUCCGAACAGGUUCAUUCCGAAAUGAUGGCUUAAAAGCUGCUGAUGUCCUUCCUAUACUAAAGGAGAAAGUGGCCUUUGUGUCAGGUGGCCGUGAUAAACGAGGUGGUCCUGUCUUGACCUUCCCAGCCCGCAGCAAUCAUGACAGAAUAAGGCAGGAAGACCUUCGGAAACUUGUGACUUAUUUGGCCAGCGUGCCAAGUGAAGAUGUCUGUAAACGAGGAUUCACUGUUAUCAUCGAUAUGCGGGGAUCAAAAUGGGAUUUGAUCAAACCUCUCCUAAAGACCCUUCAAGAAGCCUUUCCUGCCGAGAUUCACGUUGCCCUGAUUAUAAAACCUGAUAAUUUCUGGCAGAAGCAGAAAACGAACUUCGGCAGUUCCAAGUUCAUCUUUGAGACAAGUAUGGUAUCUGUUGAAGGCCUGGCAAAACUCGUAGAUCCUUCCCAACUGACAGAUGAGUUUGAAGGAUCAUUGGAUUACAACCACGAUGAAUGGAUAGAGUUGCGUGUCUCCUUAGAAGAAUUUUUCAACAGUGCCAUUCAUCUAUUAUCAAGACUGGAGGACCUUCAGGAAAUGUUGGCUAGGAAGGAGCUGAUUGAUGAGCACACACAGCUUAAGAAAAAAGUGAUUAAAGCUCCUGUGGAAGAACUGGAUCGUGAGGGUCAGAGGUUAUUACAAUGUAUAAGAUGCAGUGAUGGUUUUUCUGGUAGGAACUGCAUUCCUGGAAGUGCAGACUUUCAAAGUCUUGUGCCAAAGAUCACCAGCCUUUUAGACAAGCUGCAUUCUACCAGACAACAUUUGCAUCAGAUGUGGCAUGUCCGCAAGCUAAAACUGGACCAGUGCUUUCAACUCCGGCUUUUUGAGCAAGAUGCUGAGAAGAUGUUUGACUGGAUCAGCCACAACAAAGAAUUGUUCCUGCAGAGCCACACAGAGAUUGGCGUGAGCUAUCAACAUGCCCUUGACCUACAGACACAGCACAAUCAUUUUGCCAUGAAUUCAAUGAAUGCCUAUGUCAACAUCAAUCGGAUCAUGUCUGUUGCAUCUAGGCUUUCUGAGGCAGGCCAUUAUGCGUCCCAGCAAAUUAAACAAAUUUCUACCCAGCUGGAUCAAGAGUGGAAGACCAUGUCCGCUGUCUUUCACCAGAAAGCUGAACAGUUCCUUUCAGGUGUGGAUGCCUGGUGUAAAAUGUGCAGUGAAGGAGGGCUCCCCUCUGAGAUGCAAGAUCUGGAACUGGCCAUCCAUCACCAUCAGACCCUAGAUAAUGUGACCUUGCUGGAUGUCUUACAGCGUCCCUUGAGCCCUGGGAACUCUGAAUCCCUCACUGCUACUGCAAAUUACUCCAAGGCUGUUCACCAGGUGUUGGAUGUGGUACAUGAAGUCCUACAUCACCAGCGGCGUCUAGAGAGCAUCUGGCAACACCGAAAAGUCCGGCUACAUCAGAGGCUGCAACUCUGCGUUUUCCAGCAGGAUGUUCAACAGGUACUGGACUGGAUUGAAAAUCACGGGGAAGCCUUUCUGAGUAAACACACAGGAGUUGGGAAGUCUCUACAUAGAGCACGUGCACUGCAGAAAAGACACGAUGAUUUUGAAGAGGUAGCACAGAAUACGUACACCAAUGCAGACAAGCUUUUAGAGGCUGCAGAGCAGCUGGCUCAGACUGGGGAAUGUGACCCUGAAGAGAUCUAUAAAGCAGCCCGGCAUCUGGAAGUACGGAUUCAGGACUUUGUCCGGAGGGUGGAACAGAGGAAACUUCUCUUGGACAUGUCAGUCUCCUUCCAUACCCACACCAAAGAGCUGUGGACAUGGAUGGAAGAUCUGCAGAAGGAGCUCUUAGAGGAUGUCUGUGCUGACUCCGUGGAUGCGGUUCAGGAGCUCAUCAAGCAGUUUCAGCAGCAGCAAACAGCCACCUUGGAUGCAACCCUCAAUGUUAUUAAAGAAGGGGAAGAUCUAAUCCAACAGCUCAGGGACUCAGCCGUUUCCAACAAUAAGACUCCACACAAUAGCUCCAUCAGCCACAUCGAAUCUGUACUUCAGCAGCUCGACGAGGCCCAGGUACAGAUGGAAGAGCUCUUCCAUGAGAGGAAGAUUAAGCUAGAUAUUUUUCUUCAGCUCCGGAUUUUUGAACAGUACACCAUCGAGGUUACAGCAGAGUUAGAUGCCUGGAAUGAAGAUCUGCUGAGACAAAUGAAUGAUUUCAAUACUGAAGACCUCACUCUGGCUGAACAACGUCUGCAGCGUCACACUGAGCGGAAAUUGGCCAUGAACAACAUGACCUUUGAAGUCAUCCAACAAGGGCAAGAUUUACACCAAUACAUCAUGGAGGUCCAGGCUUCAGGCAUUGAGCUGAUCUGUGAAAAGGACAUUGAUCUUGCAACACAAGUUCAAGAGCUGCUGGAAUUCCUUCAUGAGAAACAGCAUGAGCUGGAGCUUAAUGCUGACCAAACUCACAAGAGGUUAGAGCAGUGCCUACAGCUUCGGCACCUACAGGCUGAGGUCAAGCAGGUGCUUGGCUGGAUCCGGAAUGGUGAAUCAAUGCUGAAUGCAAGCCUUGUCAAUGCAAGCUCCCUUUCUGAAGCUGAGCAGCUCCAGCGAGAGCAUGAACAAUUUCAGCUGGCCAUAGAGAAGACACACCAGAGUGCCCUGCAGGUCCAGCAGAAAGCCGAAGUCCUGCUGCAGGCAGGGCAUUAUGAUGCUGAUGCCAUCAGAGAAUGUGCUGAAAAGGUGGCCCUGCACUGGCAACAGCUGAUGCUGAAGAUGGAGGACAGGCUCAAACUGGUCAAUGCUUCAGUGGCCUUCUAUAAAACCUCUGAGCAGGUGUGCAGUGUAUUAGAGAGCCUGGAGCAAGAAUACAGACGGGAUGAAGAUUGGUGUGGAGGUCGAGAUAAACUUGGACCAGCAGCUGAGAUAGACCACGUCAUCCCGCUGAUCAGCAAACAUCUGGAGCAGAAGGAGGCUUUUCUCAAGGCCUGCACUCUGGCACGAAGAAAUGCCGAGGUAUUCCUCAAGUACAUCCACAGGAACAAUGUUAGCAUGCCUGGAGUAGCAAGCCAUACCAGGGGGCCUGAGCAGCAAGUGAAAGCCAUUUUGAGUGAGUUGCUGCAGAGGGAGAACCGGGUCCUUCACUUCUGGACCCUGAAAAAGCGACGAUUAGACCAGUGCCAACAGUACGUUGUCUUCGAGCGUAGUGCCAAGCAGGCCUUAGACUGGAUCCAAGAAACAGGCGAAUAUUACCUCUCUACUCACAACUCCACAGGGGAAUCGGCUGAGGAAACUCAGGAACUCCUGAAGGAAUAUGGGGAAUUCAGAGUACCUGCAAAGCAAACAAAGGAGAAAGUGAAGCUCCUCAUCCAGCUGGCUGACAGCUUUGUAGAAAAAGGACAUAUGCACGCCACUGAAAUCAGGAAGUGGGUCACCACUGUUGACAAACGCUACCGUGACUUCUCUCUCAGAAUGGGGAAAUACCGCUACUCCCUGGAAAAAGCCCUUGGAAUCAAUACAGAGGAUAACAAGGACCUAGAACUAGAUAUUAUUCCAGCAAGUCUUUCAGAUCGGGAGGUAAAGCUGCGAGAUGCAAAUCAUGAAGUCAAUGAAGAAAAAAGAAAAUCGGCCAGAAAGAAAGAAUUCAUUAUGGCUGAGCUGCUUCAGACAGAAAAAGCUUAUGUCAGGGAUUUACAUGAAUGUUUAGAGACUUACCUUUGGGAAAUGACAAGUGGAGUGGAAGAAAUACCCGCUGGGAUCCUUAAUAAAGAACACAUCAUCUUUGGCAAUAUUCAGGAGAUAUAUGACUUUCAUAACAACAUUUUCCUGAAAGAACUCGAGAAAUAUGAACAACUGCCUGAGGAUGUGGGCCAUUGCUUCGUCACCUGGGCAGAUAAAUUUCAGAUGUAUGUCACCUACUGCAAAAACAAGCCCGACUCCAGCCAGCUCAUCCUGGAACACGCAGGGACUUUCUUUGAUGAAAUUCAGCAAAGGCAUGGUCUGGCGAAUUCUAUCUCUUCUUAUUUAAUCAAGCCCGUCCAGAGGAUCACAAAAUACCAACUCCUACUGAAGGAACUGCUAACCUGCUGUGAGGAAGGCAAAGGGGAGCUCAAAGAUGGUCUGGAAGUGAUGCUCAGUGUCCCCAAGAAGGCCAAUGACGCAAUGCACGUCAGCAUGCUGGAAGGGUUUGAUGAGAACCUGGACGUCCAGGGAGAGCUGAUCCUUCAGGAUUCCUUCCAAGUGUGGGAUCCCAAGUCUUUAAUUCGGAAAGGCCGUGAGAGGCAUUUGUUUCUCUUUGAAAUCUCUUUGGUGUUUAGCAAAGAGAUCAAAGAUUCUUCAGGACAUACAAAAUAUGUUUACAAGAACAAGCUACUGACCUCAGAACUGGGAGUAACUGAACAUGUGGAAGGAGACCCCUGUAAAUUUGCUUUGUGGUCUGGACGAACACCAUCCUCAGACAAUAAAACAGUGCUGAAAGCGUCCAGUAUUGAAACAAAACAAGAAUGGAUCAAAAACAUCCGGGAAGUCAUUCAAGAAAGGAUUAUCCAUCUGAAAGGAGCUCUGAAAGAGCCAAUUCAGCUCCCCAAGACACCAGCAAAGCAGCGAAACAACAGUAGAAGAGAUGGAGUAGAUGAUGCAGACAGCCAAGGAGACGGCAGCAGUCAACCAGACACCAUUUCCAUUGCAUCCAGGACAUCACAGAAUACAGUGGACAGUGAUAAGUUGUCUGGAGGGUGUGAACUAACUGUGGUGCUCCAGGACUUCAUAGCAGGCCACAGCAGCGAGCUGAGCAUUCAGGUGGGGCAGACAGUGGAGCUGCUGGAGAGGCCGAGCGAAAGGCCAGGCUGGUGUUUGGUCCGGACCACGGAGCGGAGCCCACCUCAGGAGGGUCUGGUCCCCAGCAGCGCUCUCUGCAUUUCCCAUUCCCGCAGCAGCGUGGAGAUGGAUUGCUUCUUCCCUUCAGGAAAAGAGGCAUAUUCAGUGUCCUCCAAUGACAACGGGGGCAAGUCAGAUUCGGUGGCCAACCUGCAGCCUCAGCCAUCCCUCAACUCCAUCCAGAGCUCUCCGGGCCCCAAGCGCUCGACCAACACGCUGAAGAAAUGGCUGACCAGCCCUGUGCGCCGGCUGAACAGCGGCAAGACUGAGAGCAACAUCAAGAAGCAGAAGAAGGUGCGAGAUGGCAGGAAGAGCUUUGACCUCGGCUCACCAAAGACCGGAGAUGAAACCACUCCGCAAGGAGACAGCGCCGAUGAGGUGUGUGCUGGGGUUUGUUGCAGGGAAUCCUCUUCUUUGCUAGCUGCUCGACAGAGCUCCUCCGAUGUCCCGACUGCUGCGGAUCUUGUCAGUGCAAUAGAAAAGUUGGUCAAAAGUAAGCUGGUAAGUUUAGUGCUAAUAGAAGAAAAAGGAGUUUCCGAAGAUAUGAAAGGGAAAGACAAGAUAGUAUUUGUCAUUGGUUUAGUUUGCUUUUCAGCACCCUUGCUGCUCUGCGUCUUGUUUUCACAGGAGCGUCGAUUACACAUGUAUGUGGUGUAUUGCCAAAAUAAGCCACGAUCUGAAUAUAUAGUAGCUGAGUAUGAGGCAUAUUUUGAGGAGGUUCAACAGGAAAUAAACCAACGACUAACCAUCAGUGAUUUUCUGAUCAAACCCAUUCAAAGAAUAACUAAAUAUCAGCUUCUUCUCAAGGACUUCCUGCGGUACAGUGAAAAAGCUGGGCUGGAGUGCUCGGAUAUAGAGAAAGCAGUUGAAUUAAUGUGCCUUGUACCGAAACGUUGCAAUGAUAUGAUGAACCUGGGUCGCCUCCAGGGCUUUGAGGGCAAGCUGACAGCUCAAGGCAAGCUGCUGCAGCAGGACACCUUCUAUGUGACCGAGCAGGAUUCUGGAGUUCAGUCCCGACCAAAGGAACGUAGGGUGUUUCUCUUUGAGCAAAUAGUUAUCUUCAGUGAACUGCUUAGGAAAGGAUCUUUAACACCAGGCUACAUGUUCAAGAAAAGCAUAAAGAUGAACUACCUUAUCAUUGAAGAAAAUGUGGACAAUGAUCCUUGCAAGUUUGCUCUGAUGAGCCGGGAAACAUCAGAGAGAGUUAUUUUACAGGCAGCUAAUCCAGAAAUUCAGCAAGCUUGGGUACAGGACAUCAACCAGGUUCUGGACACACAAAGAGAUUUCCUAAAUGCGCUACAGUCUCCCAUAGAGUACCAACGCAAAGAAAGUAGCUCAGCAGUGCUGAGGCCCCAGACCGGUAGGGUCUCUCAGCCCAACAGCAGACCCUAUUCUUCUGUUCCAGUAGGGUCUGAGAAGCCUUUGAAGGCUACAAGCCGUAAUCCCUCUCUCCCACCCCUGAAGAUAUCUACCUCCAACGGCAGCACAGGGUAUGAACAUUCACAGCCCGGAGACAAUGCUUUCUGUGACUGCUGCCAGAAAAGGCAGGUUCCUCAGCACCACCUGCUCACCAGGUUUCUCUUGUGUCCACUUCCACAGACUGAUUUGGGAGGGUGCAAUGGGACCUCUUCCAUGGUUGUGAUUAAAGAUUACUAUGCACUGAAGGAGGAUGAGAUCUGUGUGAAUCAAGGAGAGGUGGUUCAGAUCCUCGCUAUCAACCAGCAGAACAUGUUCCUGGUGUACCAGCCUGCAAACGACCACUCUCCGGCUGCUGAAGGAUGGAUCCCUGGCAAUAUCUUGGCUCCCCUCACUAAAUCCACCACAGAUAGUAGCGACGGAAGCAUCAAGAAGUCAUGUUCAUGGCAUACCCUGCGCAUGAGAAAGCGGGCGGAAAAGGAGAGCAGUGGCAAAAAUGAAGCCAAUGGGCCACGUAAAUCCAAGGAUAUUCUGGGGAACAAAGUCUCUGUUAAAAUAAUCAACCCCAAUUUCAUUCAAGAAGUGGCUCCAGAGUUUCUUGUGCCUUUAGUGGAUAUCACCUGCCUGCUUGGUGACACAGUGAUGCUGCAGUGCAAAGUCUGUGGACGUCCCAAACCAACUAUAACCUGGAAAGGACCAGAUCAAAACAUUCUUGACAAUGACAACAGCUUCUGCACCCACAGCGAAUCCGGGGAGCUGACGCUGAAGAUCUGUAACGUGAUGCCCCAGGAUAGCGGCAUUUACACCUGUGUGGCAGUUAAUGAGCACGGGACGGCAUCAACCUCAGCCACAGUCAAAGUCCAAGAUUCUGCUGCUGAUGGUGCCACUAUUUCAUGGAAGGAAAACUUUGACCUUGCUUAUGCAGAGCUGCAUGAGAUUGGGAGGGGACGAUUCUCCAUAGUAAAGAAAUGUGUUCACAAAGCUACCAGGAAAGACGUUGCUGUAAAAUUCAUUAGUAAAAAAAUGAAAAAGAAAGAGCAAGCGGCACAUGAAGCAGCCCUGUUACAGCACUUACAGCAUCCUCAGUACAUCACUAUCCAUGAUACCUACGAGUCUCCGACUUCUUACAUCCUAGUUUUGGAGAUGGAUGACGGUCGUCUCUUAGAUUACCUAAUGAACCAUGAUGAACUCAUGGAGGAAAAGGUAGCUUUCUACAUAAGAGACACAAUGGAAGCCUUGCAGUAUCUUCACAAUUGCCGAGUGGCUCAUUUAGACAUAAAGCCAGAAAAUCUGCUCAUUGAUUUAAGAAUUCCAGUACCUCGUGUCAAGAUCAUCGAUUUGGAAGAUGCAGUUCAAAUCACAGGUCAUUAUCACGUCCACCACCUCCUUGGAAACCCAGAGUUUGCAGCUCCUGAAGUUAUCCAAGGCCUUCCUGUCUCCCUGAGCACAGACAUCUGGAGCAUCGGGGUCCUCACCUACGUCAUGCUGAGUGGUGUCUCUCCCUUCCUGGAUGAAAGCAAAGAGGAGACUUGUAUCAAUGUGUGCAGAGUAGAUUUCAGCUUCCCACCCGAGUACUUCUCUGAUGUGAGCCAUGCCGCCAGGGAUUUCAUCAACGUUAUCCUCCAGGAAGACUUCAGAAGAAGGCCAACAGCAGCCACGUGUUUACAGCAUCCAUGGCUGCAACCGCACAACGGCAGCUAUUCCAAAAUCCCUCUGGAUACCUCCCGCUUGGCUUCCUUCAUCGAGCGCCGCAGACACCAGUACGACGUGCACCCUGUCCCCAGCGUCAAGAGUUUCCUGAUGAGCAGGCUGAACCCAGGAACGUAA